ACCGCCAUGUCUUUGAAUAAUUGUGACAGUAAGCGGUCAAACCUACUACGACUCUAUCUUCAUUGGCUGCGGUUUAACUCAGUGUUUACAUCGGAGUUUCAACACACUGCAUGAGAACACUACAAACAGUGUUUGUGAGCUUUCUAAAGUGUAGCUAUGCUAACCUAGCAUGUGGGUGUUUUCUUCUACUGAAGGUAUUGUCGUAGAAAGCCGGUGAAGCCAUUUCCUGCUGUCAUUAUAUUCUGUUUGCAUGUGGGUAUUCUGUUUGUGUUUUGUAACUGUAAAUUGUAUUGUUUGUUUUGCAAGUGUAAAUUAAUGGUUAUAUUUUUAUAUAUUAAUUUACAAAGAAAAACCGAAUUUGCCACCAUGGAUAAAUGCAUAUCUGUUAAAGGAACAUGUUAAUUUAAUUAUUUAGAACUUUGUGUAUGCUUUCUCAGUUAGCUUCAGGCCUCACUGAGGAGAAGUAUUGAGGUAGAAAGCUGGUGAAGCCAUUUCCUGCUGUCAUUAUAUUCUGUUUGCACAGAUAAUAAACCUGGUUGGCAAGAAGGAAGCCAUAUUCAGUCGACAACACAACGCAGAGAUACAUGUGGCGUCAACCCAGAGAAUGAUUAGAUAAAUAGAGAAAACGGAUAUAAUUUGCUUAUUAUCUGAUUACCAGCUCUGCACAGCAGACUUGUAACACUAGCAGCAGUGGAGAUGGAGCAUCAGAACCUGGAGAAUACAGCAACAACAACAAGGAUCCAUUUGAAGAUAGCUGCCUGGGCCUAGCAGCAAGAACCUCCAUCUGUGCCUGCACCCAGGUCAAGAUCUACCGUGGCUCAAGGGCCUUCACCAGAGCCAUCACCACCAAGGACCAGAGGACCAGCAUCACUACAGCACCCUCCAUCUGUGCCUGCCACAAGAUUAAGAUACACCUCGGUACAAAGGCCUCCACCACAGCCAUCACGAUCAACCCAGCCAGCAAAGAAGUCUCGCCUAGCACACCUCCCUCCCUCCGACACAGCCACCAGCAGCCCAUGCACCAUCACCCCCACCUACACAGCAGCCAGACCCACUGUCUUGGAAGACAGACAAAGACCAUGGCACUGCUCCCCCUGUCUUUACAUUUAUAAUGAAUAGUUGGUUGAGAAAGUUCUGAUAUUGUCAGGGUUCGUACAGUCAUUAAAAACCUGGAAAAGUCAUGGAAUGCAAUAUUUUUCCCAAAGUUUUGGAAAAGUCAUGGAAAUAUAACUAAAGUUGCAUCAAAUAUAAUUUAUAUGUUAUCUAAUCGCCGAAAUAGUAAUACUAUAAUGAUAAUAAAUACUGUAUCGUAUAAUGAAACGUAAAAUGGCAACUGUGGCAGUAUUUCGCUGGUGAGAGAUGUUUACAAUCACGCCCUCUAGUCUACUAUUUUAUAUAAAGCUGCCAAGAUGCUAGGGAAGUGCAGUUUCAACAAUGUAUGGCUUCUAAAGAAUAAGUACCAAUUGUGGUUAUCAAAAGACAUUGACCCAAGAUGUGCUAAAUGCAAACUGUGUUGUAACAUAUUCAAUAUUUCGAAUAUGGGCGAGGCAGCGCAUGCUAGCCACAUGAAAGAGUCAUUUAAAAUCAUUGGUGAAAAAGUGUAUGAACCCUGUAUUGUAAAUAUUGAGAUUUUACAGUUUCUUAUGUUAACAUAAAUA